rnacentral:rRNA from 1 species
GUGGGGAAUUUUCCGCAAUGGGCGAAAGCCUGACGGAGCAACGCCGCGUGGGUGAAGAAGGCCUUCGGGUUGUAAAGCCCUGUCUUAUGGGAAGAAGAAAGUGACGGUACCAUAGGAGGAAGCCACGGCUAACUACGUGCCAGCAGCCGCGGUAAUACGUAGGUGGCGAGCGUUGUCCGGAAUCACUGGGCGUAAAGGGCGCGUAGGCGGUAAUUUAAGUCAGGUGUGUAAACUUUGGGCUUAACCCAGAGAUUGCACUUGAUACUGGAAUACUUGAGUGCAGGAGAGGGCAGUGGAAUUCCUAGUGUAGCGGUGAAAUGCGUAGAUAUUAGGAGGAACACCAGUGGCGAAGGCGGCUCACUGGCUCGAUACUGACGCUGAGGUGCGAAAGCGUGGGGAGCAAACAGGAUUAGAUACCCCGGUAGUCC